GAAAAAUGGCUGAGCGGUCAAAAGCGAUAAAUUGUAAAUUUAUUUCUUUACGUGUCCGUUGGUUCGAAUCCAACUUUUUCC
rnacentral:tRNA from 1 species